GAUGAACGCUGGCGGCGUGCCUAAUACAUGCAAGUCGAGCGAACGGACGAGAAGCUUGCUUCUCUGAUGUUAGCGGCGGACGGGUGAGUAACACGUGGAUAACCUACCUAUAAGACUGGGAUAACUUCGGGAAACCGGAGCUAAUACCGGAUAAUAUUUUGAGCCGCAUGGUUCAAAAGUGAAAGACGGUCUUGCUGUCACUUAUAGAUGGAUCCGCGCUGCAUUAGCUAGUUGGUAAGGUAACGGCUUACCAAGGCAACGAUGCAUAGCCGACCUGAGAGGGUGAUCGGCCACACUGGAACUGAGACACGGUUCAGACUCCUACGGGAGGCAGCAGUAGGGAAUCUUCCGCAAUGGGCGAAAGCCUGACGGAGCAACGCCGCGUGAGUGAUGAAGGUCUUCGGAUCGUAAAACUCUGUUAUUAGGGAAGAACAUAUGUGUAAGUAACUGUGCACAUCUUGACGGUACCUAAUCAGAAAGCCACGGCUAACUACGUG
rnacentral:rRNA from 1 species